UACUCUGUAUAAAAAAGGAAUUAUUAAAAAAAGUCUUUUUUUUUAAGGCAAAUUGAAUGAUUCAUUGAUCGAAAAUUGUAUUCAUAUCAUACCUAUAAGCAGAACAAGGCUGAUAAUUUUAUUACAAUCAAUACAUGAAAAUAUUUUGGCAAAAAUUAAAAAAAAAAAAUAAUAAUAAAAAAAACCAGACAAAUCUGAGCAAAACAAAUCAAAAUUAAAGAUGACGUAACUUUUAAUGGAAAAAUAAUACAAUGACGAGAAAAAAAAUAAAAGAAAAAAAGUACAUAAUGAAUUUUGUGUUGUUUUACCAAGAGCGCCGGAAACAAAAAUUGAUAAGAUAUCUGAUUGAAAGAACUAU